CCUACGGGUGGCAGCAGUGAGGAAUAUUGGUCAAUGGCCGAGAGGCUGAACCAGCCAAGUCGCGUGAGGGAAGAAUGUCCUAUGGGUUGUAAACCUCUUUUGUCAGGGAGUAAAGUCACCCACGUGUGGGUGUUGGAGAGUACCUGAAGAAAAAGCAUCGGCUAACUCCGUGCCAGCAGCCGCGGUAAUACGGAGGAUGCGAGCGUUAUCCGGAUUUAUUGGGUUUAAAGGGGGCGUAGGCGGGUUGGCAAGUCAGCGGUAAAAUUGUGGGGCUAAACCCCAUCCAGCCGUUGAAACUGAUGGUCUUGAGUGGGCGAGAGGUGUGCGGAAUGCGUGGUGUAGCGGUGAAAUGCAUAGAUAUCACGCAGAACUCCGAUUGCGAAGGCAGCAUACCGGAGCCCGACUGACGCUGAAGCACGAAAGCGUGGGUAUCAAACAGGAUUAGAUACCCGUGUAGUC
rnacentral:rRNA from 1 species